rnacentral:rRNA from 1 species
AUUGAACGCUGGCGGCAGGCCUAACACAUGCAAGUCGAGCGAGCGGCGGAAGGGUGAGUAAUGUAUGGGGACUGCCCGAUAGAGGGGGAUAACUACUGGAAACGGUGGCUAAUACCGCAUACUAUCGGCUAACCCCUAUGGGAGUAGCUAGUAGGUGGGGUAAGGGCACACCUAGGCGGCGAUCUCUAGCUGGUCUGAGAGGAUGACCAGCCAAACUGGGACUGAGACACGGCCCAGACUCCUACGGAGGCAGCAUUGGGGAAUAUUGCACAAUGGGCGAAAGCCGGAUGCAGGCAUGCCGCGUGUAUGAAGAAGGCCUGCGGGUUGUAAAGUACUUUCAGACGGUAGGCGUUACCGACAGAAGAAGCACCGGCUAACUCCGUGCCAGCAGCCGCGGUAAUAC